GGAAGACUUAAGAUGGCGGCGUUUGCACGGAGUGCAAUCACUGCGUCCUUACGGGGGUUGCAAGGCGUCCGAAGUAUGAGUCCACUAACAAAAGUCCAGAAACUCGCCAGUUAAUAGUAUUGUGUCUCUUCAAAAUAUCGGAGAAUAAUUUCUUUCUCGCUGAUCGCCUAACUUCUACUGACGAAGCUUGGAAGUUGCAGAAGAAAUACAAAAAAAAUUCUAAAACUUGUAUGGAACUACAAAAGACAUUAAAUAAUCAAAGUAAUCUUGAGCAACAAGGACACAGCUGGAGGCAUCACUCUACCUGAUUUUGUAAUCCAUUAUCAAAAAACUGUGGUACCAGCAUAAAAACAGAUUCACUGACCAGUGGAACAGGAAAGCCCAGACAUAACUCAUACAUUUCCAUCCAAUUGAUUUUUGACAAAAGUGGCACACAGAAUGGGGAGAGGACAAAUAAAUAAAUAAAUUGUUUUGAGAUAUCUGUA
rnacentral:lncRNA from 10 species